UACGUAGGUGGCAAGCGUUGUCCGGAUUUACUGGGCGUAAAGAGCGCGCAGGCGGUCGUGCAAGUCGCGUGUGAAAGCCCCCGGCUCAACUGGGGAGGGUCACGCGAUACUGCUCGACUCGAAGGCAGGAGAGGGAAGUGGAAUUCCCGGUGUAGUGGUGAAAUGCGUAGAUAUCGGGAGGAACACCAGUGGCGAAGGCGACUUCCUGGGCUGUUCUUGACGCUGAGGCGCGAAAGCUAGGGUAGCAAACGGG
rnacentral:rRNA from 1 species